GGCAGCACAUUGUGGCUGAUUAGCAUCACUCAUUUUUUAAAAUUAAGCCAGAGCCUAGUAUUCGCCGCCACCUUUGAAAUUCCGGUAGGCGGUCGUCGCCUCUCUUCUAUGAAAAUCUCACUCCAAAUUACAACCCAAAUUGAGCCCUGAUUUCCAUCUCUCAAAUUCGCCACUCUUGAAAAUUGUCUGCCACACCGUUGUACAUCUGGAAUUGGCGGAAUUUCAAUUGCCUAGGAUGCCGCUGUCGCUGAAUGUUCGGAGUUUUGUCCGCCGCACCAUUGCGUCGCCGACCCGAGGUUAUGCGAGUCGUCGUCGUCGUCGCGGCAUUCUCGUCUGAUUUCGUCCGGCGAACAGCUGACGCACGGGUCACCGUCAAGCGCACGGGUGCAGCGAGAACUCCCCUCAUCUCCCUGUUUUCUGCCGCGUCCUCUUCUCUUCUUAAGGACGGGGUACUCAUCGCGUGGCGCCGCCCCUUCUAUGCAACCACCGUGCUUAGCCCCAACAACAUCCAGUAAUCUUUAAUUGUAUCCCGAAUAGGAUCUAUGACCUUUGUCGGCACUCAAUUUAUGAAGUUGUUGUGUUGAUAUUUUUGUUCAAGCAAGGCAAAAGCGAUGUGUGUUUCAGCACUUCACUCUUUCUUUCUUCACUUUUGCUGCUGAAAUUGAUUGUUUAUUCAAUUUU
rnacentral:lncRNA from 1 species